rnacentral:tRNA from 1 species
AGUUAAUGAACUUGAUAUAAAGUUUAUAUUUUGAAAAUAUAAUAAAGAAAUUAAAAUUUUCUAUUGACUU